rnacentral:rRNA from 1 species
AGGGGACCUUCGGGCCUUUCGCUAACAGAUGAGCCUGCGUUGGAUUAGCUAGUUGGUGGGGUAGGGGCCCACCAAGGCGACGAUCCAUAGCUGGUCUGAGAGGACGAUCAGCCACACUGGGACUGAGACACGGCCCAGACUCCUACGGGAGGCAGCAGUGGGGAAUAUUGGACAAUGGGCGCAAGCCUGAUCCAGCAAUACCGCGUGUGUGAAGAAGGCCCUAGGGUUGUAAAGCACUUUCAAUUGGGAGGAAAACCCACCGGCCAAUACCCGGUGGCUUGACAUUACCUUUAGAAGAAGCACCGGCUAACUCCGUGCCAGCAGCCGCGGUAAUACGGAGGGUGCGAGCGUUAAUCGGAAUUACUGGGCGUAAAGCGUGCGUAGGCGGCCCGUUAAGUCAGAUGUGAAAGCCCCGGGCUCAACCUGGGAACUGCAUUUGAAACUGGCGGGCUAGAGUUUGGUAGAGGGGAGCGGAAUUUCAGGUGUAGCGGUGAAAUGCGUAGAUAUCUGAAGGAACACCAGUGGCGAA